GGAGGGGCACCAAGACGGCCGCCAAGAUGGCCACCAAAAUGGCUCAAAGAUGGCUGCCAACAUGGCUGCCAAGAUGGCCACAAGUUAGGUCCUAAGAUGGCUGCCAGUGUGGCACCAAUUUGACACCAAGGUGGCUUCCAGCGUGGCCCCAAAAUGGCUGCCAGCAAGAUGGCCGCCCACAGGGUCCCUCGAUGGCCACCAAGAUGGCCACCAAUGAGGCUCCAAGAUGGCCACCAAAAUGGCUCCAAGAUGGCUGCCAAGAUGGCUACCAAGAUGGCCUCCAACAUGGCUGCCAACGGGGCCCCAAGAUGGCCGCCAAGAUGGGCACCAAUGAGACUCCAAGAUGGUCACCAAAAUACUCCAAGAUGGCCGCCAAUGUGGCACCAAAUUGACACCAAGAUGGCUGCCAAUGUGUCCCCAAGAUGGCUGCCAAGAUGGCUGCCAACAGGGCCGCCCAUUAGGCCCCAAGUUGGCUGCCAAGUUGGCCGCCAAUGAGGCCCCAUGAUGGCCACCAAGAUGGCCGCCAAGAUGGCCACCAAUGAGGUGCCACGAUGGCUGCCAAGAUGGCCACCACGAUGGCUGCCAAGAUGGCCACCAAGAUGGCCCCCAUGAUAGCCCCAAGAUGGCUGCCAACAUGGCCAUCAAUGUGGCACCGCCAAGAUGGCCAACCAAGAUGGCUGCCAAGAUGGCCGCCAGCGGGGCCCCAAGAUGGCUGCCAAGAUGGACACCAAGAUGGCCGCCAAGAUGGCCAACCAAGAUGGGUACCAACAUGGCCACCCAUUAGGCCCCAAGAUGGCUGCCAAGAUGGCCAACCAAGAUGGCUGCCAACAUGGCCACCAAUGUGGUGCCAAGAUGGCCGCCAAGAUGGCUGCCAACAUGGCCGCCCAUUAGGCCCCAAGAUGGCUGCCAAGAUGGCCAACCAAGAUGGCCGCCAAGUGGCCCCAAGAUGGCCGCCAAGUUGGCCAACCAAGAUGGCCGCCAAGAUGGCCAACCAAGAUGGCCGCCAAGUUGGCCCCAAGAUGGCCACCAAGAUGGCUGCCAAGAUGGCCGCCGCCGCAUCCCCAAGAUGGCCGCCAUGUGACCCGGAAGUGACCCCGUGACACCACGUGACCUUUAUUGGGGCAGCCUGCACAGCAGCGCCGCGCCCCUCCCCCAUCCACGUCCGCCCCACGGCGAGCUCCGCGCUGUCACCUGCGGGGGGGGGAGGGGCAACGUGACCCACUGUGCCCCACUGUGCCCCAUUGAUUCCCGUUGAUUUCCAUUGGUCCCCAUUCAUUCCCAUUGAUUCCCAUUGGUUCCCAUUGGUCCCCAUUGAUUCCCAUUGGUUCCCAUUGAUUCCCAUUGGUCCCCAUUCAUUCCCAUUGGUUCCCAUUGGUUCCCAUUGAUUCCCAUUGGUUCCCAUUCAUUCCCAUUGAUUCCCAUUCACUCCCAUUGGUCCCCAUUGGUUCCCAUUGGUCCCCAUUGAUUCCCAUUGGGCCCCAUUGAUUCCCAUUGGGCCCCAUUGAUUCCCAUUGGCUCCCAUUCAUUCCCAUUCAUUCCCAUUGGUUCCCAUUGGUCCCCAUUGAUUCCCAUUGGUCCCCAUUGGUUCCCACUGAUUCCCAUUGAUUCUCAUUGGUUCCCUUUCAUUCCCAUUGGCCCCCAUUCAUUCCCAUUGAUUCCCAUUGGUUCCCAUUGGUUCCCCUUGAUUCCCAUUGGGCCCCAUUGAUUCCCAUUGGUUCCCAUUGAUUCCCAUUGGCUCCCAUUGGUCCCCAUUGAUUCCCAUUGGUCCCCAUUCAUUCCCAUUAGUUCCCAUUGGUUCCCAUUAAUUCCCUUUGGUUCCCAUUGGUCCCCAUUGAUUCCUCUUGGUCCCCAUUGAUUCCCAUUGGUUCCCAUUGGUCCCCAUUGAU
rnacentral:lncRNA from 1 species